UCCUACGGGAGGCAGCAGUGGGGAAUUUUGGACAAUGGGCGCAAGCCUGAUCCAGCAAUGCCGCGUGUGUGAAGAAGGCCUUCGGGUUGUAAAGCACUUUUGUCCGGAAAGAAAUCCCUGAUCCUAAUAUGGUCGGGGGAUGACGGUACCGGAAGAAUAAGCACCGGCUAACUACGUGCCAGCAGCCGCGGUAAUACGUAGGGUGCGAGCGUUAAUCGGAAUUACUGGGCGUAAAGCGUGCGCAGGCGGUGAUGUAAGACCGAUGUGAAAUCCCCGGGCUUAACCUGGGAACUGCAUUGGUGACUGCAUCGCUGGAGUAUGGCAGAGGGGGGUAGAAUUCCACGUGUAGCARUGAAAUGCGUAGAGAUGUGGAGGAAUACCGAUGGCKAAGGCAGCCCCCUGGGCCAAUACUGACGCUCAUGCACGAAAGCGUGGGGAGCAAACAGGAUUA
rnacentral:rRNA from 1 species